AAAUGGAAGGAGGAAGGUCGAUCAUUUAAAACGAUAGAAAGAAGGAGGAAGAUCAAUCGGUACGAAGUCUUAUUGAUAUCAGAACAUGGAAUCUUGGAUUAAAGCAAAAUUUGAAGAGUUGGGCCAAGAUCUGAAGAAUGAAAUAAGAGAACAACAUAUAGCAACAGUUACAGACCUGAAAAUGUUUGUUGAAAGAAAACUAACCAAACAGAAGGAAGCAAAAGAAAGAGGUAAA